rnacentral:tRNA from 1 species
GGUCUUAAUGGUGUAAUGGUUAGCACUCUGGACUCUGAAUCCAGCGAUCCGGGUUCAAAUCCGCGUAGGACCU